AACCAGCACCUCAAGUGGUCAGGAUGAUUAUUGGGCCUAAAGCAUCCGUAGCCGGCUUUGUAAGUUUUCGGUUAAAUCCAUGCGCUCAACGUAUGGGCUGCCGGGAAUACUGCAAAGCUAGGGAGUGGGAGAGGUAGACGGUACUCGGUAGGAAGGGGUAAAAUCCUUUGAUCUAUUGAUGACCACCUGUGGCGAAGGCGGUCUACCAGAACACGUCCGACGGUGAGGGGUGAAAGCUGGGGGAGCAAACCGGAUUAGAUACCCGGGUAGUCCCAGCUGUAAACUAUGCAAACUCAGUGAUGCAUUGGCUUGAUGCCAAUGCAGUGCUGCAGGGAAGCCGUUAAGUUUGCCGCCUGGGAAGUACGUACGCAAGUAUGAAACUUAAAGGAAUUGGCGGGGGAGCACCACAAGGGGUGAAGCCUGCGGUUCAAUUGGAGUCAACGCCAGAAAUCUUACCCGGAGAGACAGCAGAAUGAAGGUCAAGCUGAAGACUUUACCAGACAAGCUGAGAGGUGGUGCAUGGCCGUCGCCAGCUCGUGCCGUGAGAUGUCCUGUUAAGUCAGGUAACGAGCGAGAUCCCUGCCUCUAGUUGUCACCACUACUCUCAGGAGUAGUGGGGCGAAUUAGCGGGACCGCCGUAGUUAAUACGGAGGAAGGAAGGGGCCACGGCAGGUCAGUAUGCCCCGAAACUCUGGGGCCACACGCGGGCUGCAAUGGUAACGACAAUGUGUUCCGAAUCCGAAAGGAGGAGGUAAUCCUCAAACGUUACCACAGUUAUGACUGAGGGCUGCAACUCGCCCUCACGAAUAUGGAAUCCCUAGUAACUGCGUGUCACUAUCGCGCGGUGAAUACGUCCCUGCUCCU
rnacentral:rRNA from 1 species